rnacentral:rRNA from 1 species
AGCGUGAGCGUGCUAAGGUAGCGUAAUAAUUAGCCUUUUAAUUGGAGGCCAGUGAAUGGCAAGACUAGGAAUAGCUGUACUUUGUGUAUAAAAAGAACUUUUCGUCUAAGUGAAAAGACUUAGAUAACAAAGGAAGACGAAAAGACCCCGCGGAACUUUACCUUUUCUUAAACUUCUGUCUACAAACUUAAAGGUUUAAUAGGUUUGAUUGGGGCAAUCUUGGAACCAAUAAAACUUCCAAUUUUUAAAAAUAAACAUAUAAAAUAUGUUGAGGACUAAAAAGUAGUUACCCCGGGGAUAACAGCGUAAUCCAACUUAAGAGUACACAUCGAAAGUUGGGUUUGCGACCUCGAUGU